UACGGGGGGAGCAAGCGUUGUUCGGAUUUACUGGGCGUAAAGGGCGCGUAGGCGGCCAGCACAAGUCAGUUGUGAAAUCUCCGGGCUUAACUCGGAAAGGUCAACUGAUACUGUGCGGCUAGAGUGCAGAAGGGGCAACUGGAAUUCUCGGGUGUAGCGGUGAAAUGCGCAGAUAUCAGGAGGAACACCGGUGGCGAAGGCGGUUCUCUGGGCAUUACCUGACGCUGAGGAGCGAAAGUGUGGGGAGCGAACAGG
rnacentral:rRNA from 1 species